rnacentral:ribozyme from 1 species
UAUUAGGCUUCUUUUUGUUUUUGCGUUUCUUCUCUUCUUUCUUUUGGUUCAGUUUUUCUCUUCUCCUUUGUGACUUUUUACGAAACAG